rnacentral:rRNA from 1 species
GCGAACCGGAUUAGAUACCCUGGUAGUCCACGCCGUAAACGAUGAGUGCUAAGUGUUAGAGGGUUUCCGCCCUUUAGUGCUGAAGUUAACGCAUUAAGCACUCCGCCUGGGGAGUACGGCCGCAAGGCUGAAACUCAAAGGAAUUGACGGGGGCCCGCACAAGCGGUGGAGCAUGUGGUUUAAUUCGAAGCAACGCGAAGAACCUUACCAGGUCUUGGCAUCCUCUGAAAACUCUAGAGAUAGAGCUUCUCCUUCGGGAGCAGAGUGACAGGUGGUGCAUGGUUGUCGUCAGCUCGUGUCGUGAGAUGUUGGGUUAAGUCCCGCAACGAGCGCAACCCUUGAUCUUAGUUGCCAUCAUUAAGUUGGGCACUCUAAGGUGACUGCCGGUGACAAACCGGAGGAAGGUGGGGAUGACGUCAAAUCAUCAUGCCCCUUAUGACCUGGGCUACACACGUGCUACAAUGGACGGUACAAAGAGCUGCAAGACCGCGAGGUGGAGCUAAUCUCAUAAAACCGUUCUCAGUUCGGAUUGUAGGCUGCAACUCGCCUACAUGAAGCUGGAAUCGCUAGUAAUCGCGGAUCAGCAUGCCGCGGUGAAUGCGUUCCCGGGCCUUGUACACACCGCCCGUCACACCACGAGAGUUUGUAACACCCGAAGUCGGUGGGGUAACCUUUAUGGAGCCAGCCGCCUAAGGUGGGACAGAUGAUUGGGG